AGCGGCGGACGGGUGAGUAAUGCCUAGGAAUCUGCCUAGUGGUGGGGGAUAACGUUCGGAAACGGACGCUAAUACCGCAUACGUCCUACGGGAGAAAGCGGGGGACCUUCGGGCCUCGCGCCAUUAGAUGAGCCUAGGUCGGAUUAGCUAGUUGGUGAGGUAAUGGCUCACCAAGGCGACGAUCCGUAACUGGUCUGAGAGGAUGAUCAGUCACACUGGAACUGAGACACGGUCCAGACUCCUACGGGAGGCAGCAGUGGGGAAUAUUGGACAAUGGGCGAAAGCCUGAUCCAGCCAUGCCGCGUGUGUGAAGAAGGUCUUCGGAUUGUAAAGCACUUUAAGUUGGGAGGAAGGGUAGUAACUUAAUACGUUGCUACUUUGACGUUACCGACAGAAUAAGCACCGGCUAACUUCGUGCCAGCAGCCGCGGUAAUACGAAGGGUGCAAGCGUUAAUCGGAAUUACUGGGCGUAAAGCGCGCGUAGGUGGUUCAGUAAGUUGGAAGUGAAAUCCCCGGGCUCAACCUGGGAACUGCUUUCAAAACUGCUGAGCUAGAGUACGGUAGAGGGUGGUGGAAUUUCCUGUGUAGCGGUGAAAUGCGUAGAUAUAGGAAGGAACACCAGUGGCGAAGGCGACCACCUGGACUGAUACUGACACUGAGGUGCGAAAGCGUGGGGAGCAAACAGGAUUAGAUACCCUGGUAGUCCACGCCGUAAACGAUGUCAACUAGCCGUUGGGGAGUCUUGAACUCUUAGUGGCGCAGCUAACGCAUUAAGUUGACCGCCUGGGGAGUACGGCCGCAAGGUUAAAACUCAAAUGAAUUGACGGGGGCCCCGCACAAGCGGUGGAGCAUGUGUUUUANUUCNAAGCACCGCNAAAACCUUACCUGGCCUUGANAUGCUGAAAACUUUNUANANAAAANAUNGGUGCCUUCGGNANCUCAAACCAGGUNCUGCAUGGCUUNCNUCNCCUNGUGUCNUGGN
rnacentral:rRNA from 1 species